rnacentral:rRNA from 1 species
GGUUAAGCGACUAAGCGUACACGGUGGAUGCCCUGGCAGUCAGAGGCGAUGAAGGACGUGCUAAUCUGCGAUAAGCGUCGGUAAGGUGAUAUGAACCGUUAUAACCGGCGAUUUCCGAAUGGGGAAACCCAGUGUGUUUCGACACACUAUCAUUAACUGAAUCCAUAGGUUAAUGAGGCGAACCGGGGGAACUGAAACAUCUAAGUACCCCGAGGAAAAGAAAUCAACCGAGAUUCCCCCAGUAGCGGCGAGCGAACGGGGAGCAGCCCAGAGCCUGAAUCAGUGUGUGUGUUAGUGGAAGCGUCUGGAAAGGCGCGCGAUACAGGGUGACAGCCCCGUACACAAAAAUGCACAUGCUGUGAGCUCGAUGAGUAGGGCGGGACACGUGGUAUCCUGUCUGAAUAUGGGGGGACCAUCCUCCAAGGCUAAAUACUCCUGACUGACCGAUAGUGAACCAGUACCGUGAGGGAAAGGCGAAAAGAACCCCGGCGAGGGGAGUGAAAAAGAACCUGAAACCGUGUACGUACAAGCAGUGGGAGCACGCUUCGGCGUGUGACUGCGUACCUUUUGUAUAAUGGGUCAGCGACUUAUAUUCUGUAGCAAGGUUAACCGAAUAGGGGAGCCGAAGGGAAACCGAGUCUUAACUGGGCGUUAAGUUGCAGGGUAUAGACCCGAAACCCGGUGAUCUAGCCAUGGGCAGGUUGAAGGUUGGGUAACACUAACUGGAGGACCGAACCGACUAAUGUUGAAAAAUUAGCGGAUGACUUGUGGCUGGGGGUGAAAGGCCAAUCAAACCGGGAGAUAGCUGGUUCUCCCCGAAAGCUAUUUAGGUAGCGCCUCGUGAAUUCAUCUCCGGGGGUAGAGCACUGUUUCGGCAAGGGGGUCAUCCCGACUUACCAACCCGAUGCAAACUGCGAAUACCGGAGAAUGUUAUCACGGGAGACACACGGCGGGUGCUAACGUCCGUCGUGAAGAGGGAAACAACCCAGACCGCCAGCUAAGGUCCCAAAGUCAUGGUUAAGUGGGAAACGAUGUGGGAAGGCCCAGACAGCCAGGAUGUUGGCUUAGAAGCAGCCAUCAUUUAAAGAAAGCGUAAUAGCUCACUGGUCGAGUCGGCCUGCGCGGAAGAUGUAACGGGGCUAAACCAUGCACCGAAGCUGCGGCAGCGACGCUUAUGCGUUGUUGGGUAGGGGAGCGUUCUGUAAGCCUGUGAAGGUGUACUGUGAGGUAUGCUGGAGGUAUCAGAAGUGCGAAUGCUGACAUAAGUAACGAUAAAGCGGGUGAAAAGCCCGCUCGCCGGAAGACCAAGGGUUCCUGUCCAACGUUAAUCGGGGCAGGGUGAGUCGACCCCUAAGGCGAGGCCGAAAGGCGUAGUCGAUGGGAAACAGGUUAAUAUUCCUGUACUUGGUGUUACUGCGAAGGGGGGACGGAGAAGGCUAUGUUGGCCGGGCGACGGUUGUCCCGGUUUAAGCGUGUAGGCUGGUUUUCCAGGCAAAUCCGGAAAAUCAAGGCUGAGGCGUGAUGACGAGGCACUACGGUGCUGAAGCAACAAAUGCCCUGCUUCCAGGAAAAGCCUCUAAGCAUCAGGUAACAUCAAAUCGUACCCCAAACCGACACAGGUGGUCAGGUAGAGAAUACCAAGGCGCUUGAGAGAACUCGGGUGAAGGAACUAGGCAAAAUGGUGCCGUAACUUCGGGAGAAGGCACGCUGAUAUGUAGGUGAAGUCCCUCGCGGAUGGAGCUGAAAUCAGUCGAAGAUACCAGCUGGCUGCAACUGUUUAUUAAAAACACAGCACUGUGCAAACACGAAAGUGGACGUAUACGGUGUGACGCCUGCCCGGUGCCGGAAGGUUAAUUGAUGGGGUUAGCGGUAACGCGAAGCUCUUGAUCGAAGCCCCGGUAAACGGCGGCCGUAACUAUAACGGUCCUAAGGUAGCGAAAUUCCUUGUCGGGUAAGUUCCGACCUGCACGAAUGGCGUAAUGAUGGCCAGGCUGUCUCCACCCGAGACUCAGUGAAAUUGAACUCGCUGUGAAGAUGCAGUGUACCCGCGGCAAGACGGAAAGACCCCGUGAACCUUUACUAUAGCUUGACACUGAACAUUGAGCCUUGAUGUGUAGGAUAGGUGGGAGGCUUUGAAGUGUGGACGCCAGUCUGCAUGGAGCCGACCUUGAAAUACCACCCUUUAAUGUUUGAUGUUCUAACGUUGACCCGUAAUCCGGGUUGCGGACAGUGUCUGGUGGGUAGUUUGACUGGGGCGGUCUCCUCCUAAAGAGUAACGGAGGAGCACGAAGGUUGGCUAAUCCUGGUCGGACAUCAGGAGGUUAGUGCAAUGGCAUAAGCCAGCUUGACUGCGAGCGUGACGGCGCGAGCAGGUGCGAAAGCAGGUCAUAGUGAUCCGGUGGUUCUGAAUGGAAGGGCCAUCGCUCAACGGAUAAAAGGUACUCCGGGGAUAACAGGCUGAUACCGCCCAAGAGUUCAUAUCGACGGCGGUGUUUGGCACCUCGAUGUCGGCUCAUCACAUCCUGGGGCUGAAGUAGGUCCCAAGGGUAUGGCUGUUCGCCAUUUAAAGUGGUACGCGAGCUGGGUUUAGAACGUCGUGAGACAGUUCGGUCCCUAUCUGCCGUGGGCGCUGGAGAACUGAGGGGGGCUGCUCCUAGUACGAGAGGACCGGAGUGGACGCAUCACUGGUGUUCGGGUUGUCAUGCCAAUGGCACUGCCCGGUAGCUAAAUGCGGAAGAGAUAAGUGCUGAAAGCAUCUAAGCACGAAACUUGCCCCGAGAUGAGUUCUCCCUGACUCCUUGAGAGUCCUGAAGGAACGUUGAAGACGACGACGUUGAUAGGCCGGGUGUGUAAGCGCAGCGAUGCGUUGAGCUAACCGGUACUAAUGAACCGUGAGGCUUAACCUU